rnacentral:tRNA from 1 species
GCCCGGAUGGUGAAAUUGGUAGACACUGCGGACUUAAAAUCUGCUGCGACCUAAAAGGUGCGAGCCGGUUCGAUUCCGGCUCCGGGCACCA